rnacentral:lncRNA from 1 species
CAGCCCACCCUUGAUCUUUCUUUUUCUUCUAGACUUCACACUUCCCAGAAGGACAGAAUUAUUAGCAGAGAGGCUAAUUGGCCAGAGUCACUGCUGGAUUCAAAGGAGGACCCUGUGGAGCCACUGCAUGACCCAGGGGACUAAUCCAUCCAGACAAGAGGACAUUUAGAGCAGGAGGCAAUACGUAUAGAGUCAUUGGCUCCAAAGAAGAUGCAGGGUGAAGAAGCAGGGUCGCUGGCCUUACAAUACUCACAGGCAGAUCCGGGGAAUAGUAGAUGCACACUCCACAGUUAUGAAUGGUGGAAGGUGACAAACUAUGGAAGAAACUGUGGGGAAAAUCUUUCAACUGUAAAGUCCAGGGAAGAUUCAUGGAGGAAGUGAUUCUGAGCGGAGUCCUAUGGCACAGGUGCUGUGUAUGGAGCGAUAACCAGUAAACAAAAACCUCCAUUCUCAUGGAGAGCCUCCACAGAGCCAGGCAUUGAUGCUGCUAGGCCUGAGGGAUCAAGCCUUCCUUCCCUCACCAGGGUCGGGGUCUCCUGCACAAGGCACAUAAGGUCAUGGCUGAGGCGCUUGUGAUUCUUGUUAAUGCUGGAACCCUGCCUAUGACAAACAGGCUAGAAUAUUCACACAGUGCCAACAGGCAGCAAGCACAGACUUCUGUGACUCAGAGUAGGG